UACGGAGGGUGCAAGCGUUAUCCGGAUUCACUGGGUUUAAAGGGCGCGUAGGCGGCGCAACAAGUCACUUGUGAAAUCUCCGGGCUUAACCCGGAGCGGUCAAGUGAUACUGUCGUGCUAGAGUGCGGAAGGGGCUACUGGAAUUCUCGGUGUAGCGGUGAAAUGCGUAGAUAUCGAGAGGAACACCUGCGGCGAAGGCGGGUAGCUGGGCCGACACUGACGCUGAUGCGCGAAAGCCAGGGGAGCGAACGGG
rnacentral:rRNA from 1 species